UACGUAGGGGGCAAGCGUUGUCCGGAAUCACUGGGCGUAAAGAGCGCGUAGGCGGCCAGAAAAGUCCGAUGUGAAAACUCGAGGCUCAACUUCGAGCUGUCGGUGGAAACUUUCUGGCUAGAGUCCGGAAGAGGAGAAUGGAAUUCCUGGUGUAGCGGUGAAAUGCGCAGAUAUCAGGAAGAACACCCGUGGCGAAGGCGGUUCUCUGGGACGGUACUGACGCUGAGACGCGAAAGCGUGGGGAGCGAACAGG
rnacentral:rRNA from 1 species